CCUACGGGAGGCAGCAGUGAGGAAUAUUGGUCAAUGGACGAGAGUCUGAACCAGCCAAGUAGCGUGAAGGAUGACUGCCCUAUGGGUUGUAAACUUCUUUUAUAUGGGAAUAAAACGUUCCACGUGUGGGAUUUUGUAUGUACCAUAUGAAUAAGGAUCGGCUAACUCCGUGCCAGCAGCCGCGGUAAUACGGAGGAUCCGAGCGUUAUCCGGAUUUAUUGGGUUUAACGGGAGCGUAGGUGGAUUGUUAAGUCAGUUGUGAAAGUUUGCGGCUCAACCGUAAAAUUGCAGUUGAAACUGGCAGUCUUGAGUACAGUAGAGGUGGGCGGAAUUCGUGGUGUAGCGGUGAAAUGCUUAGAUAUCACGAAGAACUCCGAUUGCGAAGGCAGUUCACUGGACUGCAACUGACACUGAGGCUCGAAAGUGUGGGUAUCAAACAGGAUUAGAUACCCCAGUAGUC
rnacentral:rRNA from 1 species